GCGCGAUGCUCCCGCCCGGGCCAGCGCGCGCCCACCAUGUUCCCCGCCCGCGGGACCCCCGGCGCCACGCCACCGCCCGGGUGCGCGGCCGCGCCGGCGGAAGAGCGACCGGACCUGUCCCGAAGGGCCACUCGCUACUGUACUGAGCACUGAUCUUCAGCAGUGGAGCUCUAUUCAGGAGGCGCUGGACACUCAGCAAGUAGAGCCUGGACGGAUUCAGAAGUAGGUCUCUUGAAACAGAACUUUAAAGAUGGAAGAAAAGCCAGAAGACCAUCAGUGUCUCCGUUAUCUACCACCUGUCCUGACCUGAUAUGAGUGUCCCUGCUCUGCCACACACUGUCUGCCACAAUGGACUGAACAUGCUGAUGUCAUGAAUGAGAACCCGGGACAAGACAGAGAACACAACUUUUCCAAGCCAUGGAGUAGAGAAAGGUUUCUCAGUGUGUGCUCUACAGACUGGCAGCAUCCACACCUCUUUUUGGUGGUAGAGCAUAAAUACUCUCUACUACCACAAAUUAUGCAGCUGACUUUCCGGUAUUUGGAGAAAUCAUGGGUUAGCAUACCUGGAGUGCAAUGGAUGAGCCUCACCUUAGGAAAAUCACC